rnacentral:tRNA from 1 species
GGGCCCGUAGCUCAGCUUGGUUAGAGCAGGCGACUCAUAAUCGCUUGGUCCCUGGUUCGAAUCCAGGCGGGCCCA